rnacentral:rRNA from 1 species
UGGGGAAUAUUGCACAAUGGGCGCAAGCCUGAUGCAGCCAUGCCGCGUGUAUGAAGAAGGCCUUCGGGUUGUAAAGUACUUUCAGCGAGGAGGAAGGCGUUGUGGUUAAUAACCGCAGCGAUUGACGUUACUCGCAGAAGAAGCACCGGCUAACUCCGUGCCAGCAGCCGCGGUAAUACGGAGGGUGCAAGCGUUAAUCGGAAUUACUGGGCGUAAAGCGCACGCAGGCGGUCUGUCAAGUCGGAGGUGAAAUCCCCGGGCUCAACCUGGGAACUGCAUCCGAAACUGGCAGGCUAGAGUCUUGUAGAGGGGGGUAGAAUUCCAGGUGUAGCGGUGAAAUGCGUAGAGAUCUGGAGGAAUACCGGUGGCGAAGGCGGCCCCCUGGACAAAGACUGACGCUCAGGUGCGAAAGCGUGGGGAGCAAACA